rnacentral:sRNA from 1 species
GUCGUGCCGGUUCGAUCGGGAUACUCAUCAAAUUACACUGAAACUCGAGCAGACUUCUCUUGUCAAUGGCGGGCCACAAUACCACGAAAGUGGAAGCCGAAAGGCCGGUGGAUUACAACGACGGAGAGCGCUCUUAUCUUUUAACAAAGGAGUUUUCAUCACAUCACUGGGCGACCC